rnacentral:lncRNA from 1 species
UUGAAGGAGGAGUCAGGGAACAAAAGGCUACGAGGUGGGUGAAGGCAAAACACAAUUUCAGUGACUGUAUAACCCUAGCUCUCUCCAUAUGUGUUUUUUCUUGCUUUUCCUCCCAGGUUUCAAGAAUCUAUUACAACAGUUUUUCCACUGAAACAUCUAUCCUGGCAGAAACCUGACUUUAGAUACCAUUAUUUGUACAAUUUCCUAAGAAUACACACUGCUGUAAGGACUUCCCCACUUGUUUAAGGUCACUGACUCUGCAGUGCAUCUCCCUGCCAGUACCAGGUGCAUGUGUAACACAGAGAGAGAAAUUCUCAGGAGCUUUGAAAUCAGUCCUACCAGGAAAUUAGGACAAAGGGAGAUUCUUCACCUUUAUUUUUCAGAGAGAAGAAAGAAGUUGCAAAGCAGGAAGAGAAAAGGAGUGGUUGGCAGAAGGAUCCUGGAAAAACCAUUUGGGAUGCAAAGCCCAGCCCCGCGUGGGGACCGGUUCCCUGGUGAUUCACAUGCUACAGGGGGAGUGGUGGUCCCCAAACCACUUCCUUUGGCUGAGGCACCAACGAGUUUAUCAGAGAAAAUCGACUAGGAAAGGAUUAUAUUGGUGAGCAGUCUUUGCCAAAUGACAGAAAAGAGAUGGUGAUUCAUUUCAGGGGGUAACUGUAGUUCAGAGCUCCUCAGAAAAGGUUAACUACUUGUGACAAUAUGCCCAGAAAUAAUUUAUUUGGCAGUGGAUGAGAAAAGAUUGAAAAAAAAAAGUUGAAUAAACUAUUUUUGGAUAGUGCUGGUGAGCCA